AAGGCCACACUCCUAAUAGUGCCACUUCCUAUGGGCCAAGCAUAUUCAAACCACCACACUCUACAUAGAGCUCUUACCUGAAAGGGAUUCAAAGUAAGAGUGACUCAAGUCACAUAGACAUUUAGUCUCACUUGUGUAACUGCCAGGAGGGAUGUGACCCAAGACUGUGGGUGUCUCUGAACCACUGUGAGUCACCAGUCUCCUCUCAGAUCAUUCAGUCUACAUCCAGGAUGCCACAGGAGGGGCAGGAAGUAGGAAGAAGAACCUGAUCCUCUUCCCUUUGGUGAGUAUAUCCAGAACUUGUAUUCAGGAUUCCAGACACAUCAAUUUGCCUAACUCAGUUUCAAUGGUCACACUACUAGGGUGUAAUGGGAUCAGCUCUCAAGCCAUAGACACAUUACUGAGGGAAGUAAGGGGAGAACACAGUUCACAUACCCAUACCCAGCUGCUUUCAGGUGGAGAAUAUGUAUAACCAUGGCCAUGGCAGAAGACCUGAGUUCAGUUCCCAGCACCCAUGUUGGGAAGCUCAAAUUGUCUAUAACUCCAACUCUAUAGGAUCUGAUGAUCUCUAUAAGCUCUCUCUCUUUCUCUCUCUCUCUCUCUCUCUCUCUCUCUCUCUAUAUAUAUAUAUAUAUAUAUAUAUAUAUAUAUAUGUGUGUGUGUGUGUGUGUGUGUGUGUGUAUAAAAAAUAAAAAUAAAUCUAAAACAAACACAAAAAUAAGCUCAGUAAAUUCUCUGGAACAAGGACAACCUGAUUUACAGAAUUUUUAGAUUCAACUCUCCAGUUUUGACUACAACAGUAAAAAUCAUGAUAUACAAAGAAACAGGAAAGUAUGAUCCACUUAAGGGAAAAAUAAUAACAAUAUUGUAACACAUUAUAAUACAAUAUAUUUGGGUUACUCAUCUAGCAAAAGUAGCAAAAUUACAUAAUCUUCAGGAAAAUGGAUGGAACUGGAACACAAUGAGUUAGUGAGAUAAGCCAGGCUCUGGAAGACAGAUAUCGCAUACUUUGUCUCAGCUGUAGUGUCUAGACUUUAAAAUCAGAGAAAUCCUUGAAUACGGAAUAGGGAACCAAUAAGGGAAGGAAAGAAUAAAGGGGGGUAAAUAAGAUCAAAGUAAAUGACACACACAUGUGUGAGCAUGUGGCAAGGAAGCCAUUAUUCUGUACAGUGAAUUCACAUCAAUCAAAUAAUAGCAAUUGGGGGCUGGAGAGAUGGCUCAGAGGUUAAGAUCACUAACUGCUCUUCCAGAGGUCCUGAGUUCAAUUCUCAGCAAACACAUGGUGGUUCACAACCAUCUGUAAUGGAAUCUGAUCCCCCCUUCUGUGCGUCUGAAGAUACUGACAGUUUACUCAUAGGCAUAAAAUAAACAAAUAAAUAAAUCUUUUUAAAAAUAAUAGCAACUGACUUGAAACCAUUCUAAGAAUGCGAGGAAGACACAAUAUGGAAAAGAAUAUUUUAAAAAAAUGAUUUGAGGACAAAAUGAAAAUGUAGAGAAAGAGGGAGCUUAAGGGGGGGAAACAAAUUCUAGUUAUUGUGAAAGGCAUAGUAACAGAAAAAGGAAACUCAGCUGCAGGAAUUCAGAAGCAGAAGAAAACAAACAUGGAGUUUAAAGAUGGGGCAAUUAACGAUGCAGUCUGAGGAAUACAAGAGGGGAACAGACUAAAGGCGGAUGACCAAAGAAUGGGAACCGGUUCUGAAUGAAACCUGGUCUGGGAAGAUGAGUCAGCUGACUCGUGUUAACCCUUGAACACAACAGAGGGAGAUGGAGAAGCCAGUGUACCAAGCCACGCCCUCCCAGAAAGAUGCGGAACUGUGGCGACCAAUGAGCCUCAUGCAACCCCUGGGGAGGCGCAGGACAGAAAUCAAAUGUUCCAAAAAAAACAAAGGAAAGUGAACUGAUUAGUAAUAAUUUAACAGAGAAACUGGGACAAGGAGGAAAGACUCUCAAUUUCUCUUCACAAUUGUAUAAGAGAACCCAUCCCUGAAUCAGUUUGAACCUCGCGCUGAAAAACCCGGAAGAAUAAAGGGAUCAGACUCCAAGAAUUUCCUGAUAUGCGUUGGUUUAAAAUAAUGUUUUGUCCAGAGUUUUAGUCCGUUUAGGUGGUUGUGACAAAAUGUUGCAGAUCGGGCGGCCUGAACAAUAUUCAUCAUUCACAGCUGAGGAGGGACAGUGAAAGACCAAGAUGGAGGAACCAGCCAACCUAGCGUCCUGUGAGGAGCCUUUCUGCCACAUGGAUGGUACCGAGAAGGAAAAGGAGGCUCUGCAUGGCCUCUAAAUACAGAUACGAAUCCUAUUCUCGAGGUUGUACCCUCAUGGCCUAACUACCUCCCCAAACUGUACCUCUUAAUACUAUAUCACCUUAGGGUUAGGUUUCGUCGUGUGAACAAAUGCUUAGUCUUCAAGAGCUAAAUAGGCUUCCUACGGUCACUAACAUGAAGAUGAGACAGAGAAGAGAAGAGAUAAGAAAAACAAACAAAAACAAACAGGGAUUUAACUCUCUACCAAAUAUCAGCACUUUUCUUUUGUUUUUGACAGGUCUCUCUGUGUAGACCCAGUUUUCCUAGAACUCACUAUGUAGACCAGGCUGGUCUAGAACUCAGAGUUCUCCCUGCCACUCUGCCUCUCAAAUGCUAGGAUUAAAGACUAGCCACACUACAUCCAGGAGUGUUUUUCUUUUUAAUUGAUAAGACUUUUUAAAAAUUGAAAAUAGUUUCCUUUUCCACGCAAUAUAUUCUGAUCACGGUUCCCCUCCCCCAGCUUUCUCCAGCUUCUCCCUACCUGCCCACAGUUCAGAGAUCACUAGCAUCCAGAUCUGUGCCCAGCACCAGUUGUCACUGAGCCUAGAUCUCUACACCAGAGUCUCUUCUUUAGGGAGCUCUGUGUUCAGAGCUGGCGUGCGACCCAGGGCCACUUCCAUAGCCACUGUAAUGCUCAUGACUUUCUUUGGUGGAGUCAUUCAUUUCCCCCUCUUCAUCUCCUGAGCUUAGCGAUCUUCCGAGUCACUUAGAGAGUUCAUUCCUGUUAAUGCCUGGUAUUGUAGUGGUGCAUAGCAAGAGUUCAAAUGUUACAGGAAGACACAAAGGUAAACUUUACCUUCUUUCUUCUAACAUGCUCUUUUCCACAGACCGAAAAAAUAGAAAUAAAUAAUAAAUAAUUAAAAGCUCUGCAUCUUUGCCUAUGUACCUGUAGAAGAGACUGCCCUGUGCAGGUUAGACUUAGUUGGACCUUCUAUCCUAAUGUCUCAGUCUAAAGAGGUUAUUGGUAAAAAGCAAGUAUUUGAGACUCAAUAUCAUGAUGAAAAACAAUGUUUUUAUUACUUAAAACUUCAAUUGAUAGCAAUGUUGAAGGCUCAUGACCAAUCACUUUGCAUUGGCGUUGUAAAGUUUUCUUUUUUAAAAUAUUUUUUUUACAUUAAUUUGUUUUUGUGUGUGGGUGUGUAUGCGCGUGUGCACAUGCAUGUAUGUUUGAGCAUGUGCAUGCUAUUGCAUAUGUGUGGACGACGAAGACACUUUGCAAAACUCACUUCUCUGCGUGCAUUGUGUAUGUUCUGGAAAUUGAGCUCAGGCUGUGAGGGUUAGCGGCAAGUACCUUCAUCAGAGCCAUCUCACUGACUCUAAAAUAUCUUUACCCAAGAUAUUUUAACCCCUGGGCCAUCUCUCCAAGUAACACCCAUGUUACCUUAACCACCACAAUUGCCUUGGUGUAGAUUUAGAGAUAGGACUCAGAGGUAGCUAAAUCUCUAAACAUUCUAGUCAUCAGAAUAAAGUCAGAAACAGAGGCUGGGCCUGUAACUUCUUGUCGUGCACUGUUAGUCACAAUAACAGACAGCCAUCACUGCAGGGGUGCAACAGAGAGAGAGAGAGAGAGAGAGAGAGAGAGAGAGAGAGAGAGAGAGAGAGAGAGGAGAGAGCAAGAGAGCUCCAAACUUCACAUUCACAUUUAUUCUGCUUUGUUUUCCAGUAGCUUACUCUCCUAGUCUUCCCCAUCCCCACAUGACCACCACAGCUGCUUCAGUUGCCCAACACCACCAGUCCUCAGAACACUGAAAGAGGAAGAGCCGCACCCUUGAUAUUGGGGAGGACAGCUGGAUGGGAUAACUACUCUCUGACAGCUGACUGUGGCUCACUUCCAGAAGGAAUAGCAUUUGUUGAUACAAAAAAACAGCCACCAGCCACCGUAACUGUAACUGCCUCUUUUAGGUGUUUUGAGCUCACAGGACUGAGGGAGGGAAAGUAAGCUCUGCAAAGGAGUAUUUGGCUAGCCAGGCUCACAGAACAUCUUGCAAGUUUGAAAGCGUUCUAAGGCUGCUUCACACCCCGGCCCACACACCCAGCUGCACUCAAAGAGCUCUUCCUCCCCGCCCCCACCCCCACCUCCA